ensembl:processed_transcript
CACAACACUGAGAUGAAGGCGAAGUCACCAUGAAAAGUUAAACGUUUACCGUUAAGCUACAAUAAUUGAUGUUGAAAAACUGAUGCUACCAAUCACUCCUCACUUUAUUAUUCAAGUUCCUAAGAUAAAAAAAAUCUGGUGUUAAAACAGCCACGGCUAUGCUAUUUGCCUACCAAGUGCUGAGUAAAUAUUAGACAAACAUUUUUUUCUAUAACUGUUGUCUUUGUGUUUAUUAGCAAUUUUACUGGGCGUAUGUGUUUUUUUUUUUUCAAACAGCCUGGAAACUGUAAGUUUAGUUCAAUAUGUUAUUUUAUGCUAUUCAUUUUUGUCUUAACAUGGAUUGCAUGUUGAAGCUAUCGUUUUAUAGUGGGAAAAUGUAAAAGAGAAUCACUGAAUACAAUGGCAUAAUGAUUCUGCUUGUUCAAAGAAGGUACUUGAUUUAGUUUUCCUCAAGCGACACAUCAGUUUUUAUGACUAUUGCUUGACACUUGAAUUGAAGGGACAGUUCACCCCAAAAUGAAAAUAAUAGCAUCUUUGGCAUCCUCCACUUGUUUCAAAAUAGUUAUAUAUUUAAUUUGUUCCGUUGAACACAAACUCGUAUUUUUUAAAGAAAUUUGGUUCAAAUAUGGAUGUCAAUAGUUACUGGUUACUAACAUUCUUCAAAAUAUCUGCUUUAGUGUUUAACAGAAAUUCAAACUAGUUUAAAACACAUGGAGUAAAUAGUGGCAA